CCUCCUCUGACUUCUCUAAUCCUUCACUUCCUCUUUCUGUACGAACAAACUCUUUCAACCACGCAGAGUAUUGGUACUAUUAGUAUUCCUAGUAUUAGUAUUAGUCUGUCUGUGUACUUGAACAACUUCUUUAAUAUUACACCAUCAGAGUCCGUGACUGAAACAACUCAACCGGCCCGAUAUGUAAAUGAGUGUUUACGUAAACGUCAGAGGGGGAGGAGCCAGAAAACAAGAAGUCACAGAAACGUCAACUUCUGUCUACGAAGCCCAGAAGACACAGAGUGAGACAGGUUCCAUCAGACAGACAGCUGGAGUCUGAACACAUGUGACAUCCUCUGUGCCCAAAACUCACAUCAGCACCGAAAACAUAGAAAACCUCCAAGAGGGAAAAAAGGCCUUUGUCUGACGCUCAGCGGGAGAAAGACGCUGAUCAGCUGCAGUACUCGUGGUGUGUAUAUACCCCUGUGGUGCAUACUAGUACUCGUGGUGUGUAUAUACCCCUGUGGUGCAUACUAGUACUCGUGGUGUGUAUUUACCCCCGUGGUGCAUACUAGUACUCGUGGUGUGUAUUGACCCCCGUGGUGC
ensembl:lncRNA